rnacentral:rRNA from 1 species
AUUGAACGCUGGCGGCAGGCCUAACACAUGCAAGUCGAGCGGUAGAGAGGAGCUUGCUUCUCUUGGGAGCGGCGGACGGGUGAGUAAUGCCUAGGAAUCUGCCUGGUAGUGGGGGAUAACGUUCGGAAACGGACGCUAAUACCGCAUACGUCCUACGGGAGAAAGUGGGGGAUCUUCGGACCUCACGCUAUCAGAUGAGCCUAGGUCGGAUUAGCUAGUUGGUGAGGUAAAGGCUCACCAAGGCGACGAUCCGUAACUGGUCUGAGAGGAUGAUCAGUCACACUGGAACUGAGACACGGUCCAGACUCCUACGGGAGGCAGCAGUGGGGAAUAUUGGACAAUGGGCGCAAGCCUGAUCCAGCCAUGCCGCGUGUGUGAAGAAGGUCUUCGGAUUGUAAAGCACUUUAAGUUGGGAGGAAGGUCAGUAGCUUAAUACGUUGCUGAUUUGACGUUACCGACAGAAUAAGCACCGGCUAACUCUGUGCCAGCCGCCGCGGUAAAAC